AUACCUUUCUCGGCCUUUUGGCUAAGAUCAAGUGUAGUAUCUGUUCUUAUCAGUUUAAUAUCUGAUACGUGGGCCAUCGGCCCACUCGAUAUUAAUCUAAUUUUUUAUGGGGAAAGGCCCAUCUCAAUAGCUUGCUAUUGGGGCCUUUACGCGUCGCCUUGGUGUUGCACUAUUGCCUUGGCCUGGCGCACCCCUC
rnacentral:snRNA from 2 species